GAUGAAGAACGUAGCGAAAUGCGAUAAGUAAUGUGAAUUGCAGAAUUCAGUGAAUCAUCGAAUCUUUGAACGCACAUUGCGCCCGCCAGUAUUCUGGCGGGCAUGCCUGUUCGAGCGUCAUUUCAACCAUCAAGCCCCCGGCUUGUGUUGGGGACCUGCGACUGCCGCAGGCCCUGAAAACCAGUGGCGGGCUCGCUAGUCACUCCGAGCGUAGUAAUACAUCUCGCUCAGGGCGUGCUGCGGGUUCCGGCCGUUAAAAAGCCUUAUUUACCCAAGGUUGACCUCGGAUCAGGUAGGAAGACCCGCUGAACUUAAGCAUAUCAAUAAGCGGAGGA
rnacentral:misc_RNA from 1 species